UACGGAGGGGGCUAGCGUUAUUCGGAAUUACUGGGCGUAAAGCGCACGUAGGCGGCUUUGUAAGUUAGAGGUGAAAGCCUGGAGCUCAACUCCAGAAUUGCCUUUAAGACUGCAUCGCUUGAAUCCAGGAGAGGUGAGUGGAAUUCCGAGUGUAGAGGUGAAAUUCGUAGAUAUUCGGAAGAACACCAGUGGCGAAGGCGGCUCACUGGACUGGUAUUGACGCUGAGGUGGCGAAAGCGUGGGGAGCAAACAGG
rnacentral:rRNA from 1 species